rnacentral:sRNA from 1 species
AAGUGUAUCGUGUUUCUCUUGGUGUAUC